rnacentral:rRNA from 1 species
GUUUCCCUACGGGAGGCAGCAGUGAGGAAUAUUGGUCAAUGGGCGGUAGCCUGAACCAGCCACGUAGCGUGAAGGAUGAAGGUGCUACGGAUUGUAAUCUUCUUUUAUAAAGGAAUAAAGUGAGGCACGUGUGCCUUUUUGUAUGUACUUUAUGAAUAAGGAUCGGCUAACUCCGUGCCAGCAGCCGCGGUAAUACGGAGGAUCCGAGCGUUAUCCGGAUUUAUUGGGUUUAAAGGGAGCGUAGAUGGGUUGUUAAGUCAGUUGUGAAAGUUUGCGGCUCAACCGUAAAAUUGCAAUUGAUACUG